rnacentral:rRNA from 1 species
AGAGUUUGAUUCUGGCUCAGAACGAACGGUGGCGGCGUGGAUAAGACAUGCAAGUCGAGCGGGAUUUUACUGGUAGCAAUAUUAGUAAGGUUCAGCGGCGCAAGGGUGCGUAACACGUGGGCAAUCUGCCUAGGGGAGCGGGAUAGCUCGGCGAAAGUCGAAUUAAUACCGCAUAAGACUACUGGAAGCAUUUCCGGGAUGUCAAAGGUGGCGCAAGCUGCCGCUCCUGGAUGAGCCCGCGGCCUAUCAGCUAGUUGGCGGGGUAACGGCCCACAAGGCUAUGACGGGUAGCUGGUCUGAGAGGACGACCAGCCACACUGGAACUGAGACACGGUCCAGACACCUACGGGUGGCAGCAGUCGAGAAUUUUUCUCAAUGGGGGAAACCCUGAAGGAGCGACGCCGCGUGGAGGAUGAAGGUCUUUGGAUUGUAAACUCCUGUCAUUUGGGAACAAAUACCUAAUUUAACUGAUUAGGAACUGAUAGUACCAGAAGAGGAAGAGACGGCUAACUCUGUGCCAGCAGCCGCGGUAAUACAGAGGUCUCAACCGUUGUUCGGAUUCAUUGGGCGUAAAGGGUGCGUAGGCGGUCGCGCAAGUCGGAUGUGAAAUCUUAGGGCUCAACCCUGAAACUGCAUUCGAUACUGCGUGGCUCGAGUACUGGAGAGGAGACUGGAAUUUACGGUGUAGCAGUGAAAUGCGUAGAUAUCGUAAGGAAGACUAGUGGUGAAGGCGAGUCUCUGGACAGUUACUGACGCUGAGGCACGAAGGCCAGGGGAGUAAACGGGAUUAGAUAUCCCGGUAGUCCUGGCAGUAAACGGUGUACGUUUGGUGUAGGCGGAUUUGAUCCCGCCUGUGCCGGAGCUAACGCGUUAAACGUACCGCCUGGGAAGUACGGUUGUAAGAUUAAAACUCAAAGAAAUUGACGGGGGCCCGCACAAGCGGUGGAGUAUGUGGCUUAAUUCGAUACGAUGUGAAGAAUUUUACCAGGGUUUGAUAUGUAUCGUGUUGGCGAUGAAAGUUGCCUAGCCGUAGUAAUACGGCGCUUUACACAGGUGCUGUAUGGCUGUCGUCAGCUCGUGUUGUGAGAUGUUGGGUUAAGUUUCGCAACGAGCGUAAUCCUUGUGUCCUGUUGCCAUUCCUUAAAUGGAAGCACUUUGGACAGACUGCCCUGUGAAACGGGGAGGAAGGUGAGGAUGACGUCAAGUCAGUAUGGCCCUUACACCCUGGGCUGCACACGUACUAUAAUGCUCAGUACAAUAUGAGCCGAAACCGUGAGGUGGAGGAAAUUGAUAAAACUGAGCCCAAUUCGGAUCGCAGGCUGUAAUUCGCCUGCGUGAAGCCGGAAUCGUUAGUAAUGCCGUAUUAGUUAUGACGGCGUGAAUACGUUCCCGGGCCUUGUACACACCGCCCGUCACAUCAUGGGAGUCGUUUGCACCUGAAGUACACCAAUGGUGUCCUAUGGUAUGAGCGGUAACUGGGAUGAAGUCGUAAUAAGGUA